rnacentral:rRNA from 1 species
GAUGAACGCUGGCGGCGUGCCUAAUACAUGCAAGUCGAGCGAAUGGAUUAAGAGCUUGCUCUUAUGAAGUUAGCGGCGGACGGGUGAGUAACACGUGGAUAACCUGCCCAUAAGACUGGGAUAACUCCGGGAAACCGGGGCUAAUACCGGAUAACAUUUUGAACCGCAUGGUUCGAAAUUGAAAGGCGGCUUCGGCUGUCACUUAUGGAUGGACCCGCGUCGCAUUAGCUAGUUGGUGAGGUAACGGCUACCCAAGGCAACGAUGCGUAGCCGACCCGAGAGGGUGAUCGGCCGCACUGGGACUGCGACACGGCCCAGACUCCUACGGGAGGCAGCAAUAGGGAAUCUUCCGCAAUGGACGAAAGUCUGACGGAGCAACGCCGCGUGAGUGAUGAAGGCUUUCGGGUCGUAAAACUCUGUUGUUAGGGAAGAACAAGUGCUAGUUGAAUAAGCUGGCACCUUGACGGUACCUAACCAGAAAGCCACGGCUAACUACGUGCCAGCCGCCGCAGUAA